GCGAACGCUGGCGGCAGGCCUAACCCAUGCCAGUCGCACGAACCUUUCGGGGUUAGUGGCGGACGGGUGAGUCACACGUGGGAACGUGCCUUUAGGUUCGGAAUAACUCAGGGAAACUUGUGCUAAUACCGAAUGUGCCCUUCGGGGGAAAGAUUUAUCGCCUUUAGAGCGGCCCGCGUCUGAUUAGCUAGUUGGUUGAGGUAAUGGCUCACCAAGGCGACGAUCAGUAGCUGGUCUGAGAGGAUGAUCAGCCACAUUGGGACUGAGACACGGCCCAAACUCCUACGGGAGGCAGCAGUGGGGAAUCUUGCGCAAUGGGCGAAAGCCUGACGCAGCCAUGCCGCGUGAAUGAUGAAGGUCUUAGGAUUGUAAAAUUCUUUCACCGGGGACGAUAAUGACGGUACCCGGAGAAGAAGCCCCGGCUAACUUCGUG
rnacentral:rRNA from 1 species